CUACUUUAGAUAAUACCUAGAGAUACUGGACGUUACUCGCAGAAUAAGCAGCCGGCUAACUCUGUGCCAGCAGCCGCGGUAAUACAGAGGGUGCAAGCGUUAAUCGGAUUUACUGGGCGUAAAGCGCGCGUAGGCGGCUAAUUAAGUCAAAUGUGAAAUCCCCGGGCUUAACUUGGGAAUUGCAUUCGAUACUGGUUAGCUAGAGUGUGGGAGAGGAUGGUAGAAUUCCAGGUGUAGCGGUGAAAUGCGUAGAGAUCUGGAGGAAUACCGAUGGCGAAGGCAGCCAUCUGGCCUAACACUGACGCUGAGGUGCGAAAGCAUGGGGAGCAAACAGGAUUAGAUACCCUGGUAGUCCAUGCCGUAAACGAUGUCUACUAGCCGUUGGGGCCUUUGAGGCUUUAGUGGCGCAGCUAACGCGAUAAGUAGACCGCCUGGGGAGUACGGUCGCAAGACUAAAACUCAAAUGAAUUGACGGGGGCCCGAACAAGCGGUGGAGCAUGUGGUUUAAUUCGAUGCAACGCGAAGAACUUACCUGGCCUUGGACUACUAGAAACUUUCCAGAGAUGGAUUGGUG
rnacentral:rRNA from 1 species